GAUAGCUCAGUCGGUAGAGCAGAGGACUGAAAAUCCUCGUGUCGGUGGUUCAAUUCCGCCUCGAGGCACCA
rnacentral:tRNA from 1 species